UACGUAGGUGGCAAGCGUUGUCCGGAAUUAUUGGGCGUAAAGAGCUCGUAGGCGGUCUGUUGCGUCCGCUGUGAAAACUCGGGGCUUAACCCCGAGCCUGCAGUGGAUACGGGCAGACUAGAGGUAGGUAGGGGAGAAUGGAAUUCCCGGUGUAGCGGUGAAAUGCGCAGAUAUCUGGAGGAACACCGGUGGCGAAGGCGACGUCCUGGACCGGCAUUGACGCUGAGGCGCGAAAGCCAGGGGAGCAAACGGG
rnacentral:rRNA from 1 species